GGAGGAAUACCCAAGUCCGGCUGAAGGGAUCGGUCUUGAAAGCCGACAGGGGCUUAACGGCUCGCGGGGGUUCGAAUCCCUCUUCCUCCG
rnacentral:tRNA from 1 species